rnacentral:rRNA from 1 species
CCUACGGGUGGCAGCAGUAGGGAAUUUUCGGCAAUGGGGGGAACCCUGACCGAGCAACGCCGCGUGAACGAAGAAGUUCUUCGUAAUGUAAAGUUCUUUUAGCAGGGAAGAAAGAGAAAUUUGACGGUACCUGAAGAAUAAGCUCCGGCAAACUACGUUCCAGCAGCCGCGGUAAUACGUAGGGAGCGAGCGUUAUCCGGAAUUAUUGGGCGAAAAGGGUGCGUAGAUGGCAUAGUAAGUCUUUUGUAAAAAUGCUGGGCUCAACCCAGUAGGGCAAAAGAUACUGCAAAGCUAGAGUAUGCCAGAGGCAAGUGGAACUACAUGUGUAGCGGUAAAAUGCGUAGAUAUAUGUAAGAACACCAGUGGCGAAGGCGGCUUGCUGGGUCGAUACUGACAUUGAGGCACGAAAGCGUGGGGAGCAAACAGGAUUAGAUACCCGGGUAGUC